ACGCUACGCUACACCGACGUGGAAGCCCGCACCGCACCUCAUCCGGCACGCCUCCCACCGGCUCCCGCCUAUUUCAAUCCCCGGGCCGCGCACCGGAUGCCGCCUCCCAUCUCUAACAACCAUCCGCGGGCGGUGCAAUCUGUUUGUACCCGUCACUCCCACCCCUCGUCCCCAGCCCGCUCGCUCCCGACGACCGGAGACCAGGCGCCGCUCGCAGAGGCGGAGCAGAGAAGAGAGGAUGGACCACGCGGCGGAGGCGCAGCGGACGGACCUGAUGACGAUCACGCGGCACGCGCUGAACGAGCAGGGCCGGCACCCGGAGUCCCGGGGCGACUUCACCAUCCUCCUCUCCCACAUCGUCCUCGGCUGCAAGUUCGUCGCCUCCGCCGUCAACAAGGCCGGCCUCGCCAAGCUCAUCGGCCUCGCCAAGCUCAUCGGCCUCGCCGGGGAGACCAACGUCCAGGGCGAGGAGCAGAAGAAGCUGGACGUGCUCUCCAACGAGGUCUUUGUCAAGGCGCUUGUCAGCAGCGGCCGCACUUGUGUCCUCGUGUCUGAAGAGAACGAGGCGGCCAUCUUCGUCGACGCGCCCCUCCGCGGAAAGUACUGCGUGUGCUUCGAUCCCUUGGACGGCUCCUCCAACAUCGACUACGGCGUCUCCAUCGGGACGAUCUUCGGGAUCUACAUGAUCAAAGACAAGGACAACGCGACCCUGGAGGACGUGCUGCAACCCGGGACCGACAUGAUCGCCGCUGGCUACUGCAUGUACGGGAGCUCAUGCACGCUUGUCCUAAGCACUGGAAACGGUGUAAAUGGCUUCACCCUUGAUCCUUCCCGCGGGGAGUUCAUACUUACCCAUCCCAACAUAAAGAUACCAAACAAAGGGAAGAUCUACUCGGUCAAUGAAGGGAACGCCAGAAACUGGGACGCGCCCACUGCAAAGUACGCAGAGAGAUGCAAGUUUCCCCAAGACGGCUCAUCGCCAAAAUCCCUGAGAUAUAUCGGAAGCAUGGUUGCGGAUGUUCAUCGUACCCUGCUCUACGGAGGCAUAUUUCUGUACCCCGCCGACAAGAAGAGCCCCAGCGGAAAGGUUGGUGACAUGGGGCGUGUUUGGUUGCCGUGCGCUACAGUACCCGCAUUGCAUACACUUCUCCACCCAACCUGCCUAUGCAAAUCAGCCUCAAAUGCACCAUAUGCAUGUUGUUUAAUUGCCUGCAUGCCCUCUUACCUGCAUAGGCCGAACCACACUGCCUGGUGUUUGGUUGCCUGCAUGUUAGUCCACAAACCCAGGGCAUGGUGUUUGGUUGUAUGCAAGGCCUGAUGUGUGGUAACCUCUUUGGCUAGUUGGUGAGGUUACCACCACACUUCGGCAGCACACAUCAUAAGCACAACAAAGUAUAAACAGAGCAUCAACUAGCAUAAUUCAGAUAUAAGCAGUACCACAGAUAUAACAGUUCAACGCAUAAACCAUAAACAUGUUCAAAACAAACUCGAUAGUACGCUCGAAAGAGGUGGCCCGGCCCUACUCCUUGGCGGCAAAGGCUUCGUCGUGCUUCCCCCACUUGCUGACGACCUCAAUGCCAUCGUCGUCGAAGAUGAUGACCUUGAGGGUGUCGGGAGUGAGGAGCUUGAACGUCACCAUGUAGCCGAUCUUGAUCUGAUGAAUGGCUGCGUAGGUGGCCCAACCCUGAUCUAGGGUCACCCUGCCGUUCAUCAGCUUGACCGUCACCUUUCAGGAGCAGCCGGUGUUGUUCCUGAGCUUGAACUCCGUCGGCACCGCGACGAAGUGUUUGGUGAAGUCCAGGGGCAUGGGGAUGCACUCAAGCUUCGGUGCAAGGAUGACCUUGCAGAAGUGAGUUGGGCCAUCCUCCUGAUGGUAGUGGCCGUAGUUGCGGCGCUUGUUGCUGGGGGGCUCCUCCAUGCCCUCGUCGUCGCCACCCUCAGGCGUCUUCGGGUCUUCCUCGACGGUGGGCGGCAACUCAACCUCGUCGGGCAUUGGGUGAAGGGGCUGCUUGCCCUUGCUGUCAAUGGCCGGGAGCACCUCCGUGUCCUCGAUCUGCACACAAGUCAUGGAGUCAGGCAUUGCACAGAGUUCAUGGCUAAUUCAAGAGCUUGUAGUUAAAACGGCAUGACUGUCACUCUUCCCCUCCUCUCCAUCCCCUCUAUAUUUACUCACCCUGCCCACCAUUGUUUACCCACCCCCUCUCUUCUCUCACUGUCAACCUUCCUCCUCCCCAUCGCCAUGAGCUCUAGCUCCAGCUCCAACGCCAACCCCUUCCCUUGGGGUAUUGGCUGGAGGGCCUUCUUCCUCGGGUGGACGGCUGGUGACCGGACCAAGUUCGAGAACACCAUGGAGGUGUACUCGAACUUAGGCUCCAUGCCGGACAUGCAGAACGAAUCUAAUGCCGUGCUCAUGAAGGCCACUAAAGAAGAGCUGAAGACGCUGAUUCCUGACCCAGCGAAGGGCGCGAUGGCAGUUGACAUCAUUCGCUGAGCCAUGAAUCAGGCCGUCUCCGACGACCCUAAACAGAGGAAGAAGUGGUGCAAGUACAAGACCUACUGGGCUCCUAAUGACCGUCGUGCCGCAGUGUACUGGGAGACGGCUAUCGCGCCGCCGGCGGUCAUCGGCGGGGAGCCUAAGGAGGAGGAAGAAGAGGCGGUGCACAUGCCAGCUAGGGCGCCAGAGCCAGUCCGUCCUACCUGGCAGAUCGACCUCGACUCCGCCGAGGACGACCCGCCGGCCCGCACGGCGAUGAAGAAGAAGAUGAAGGCCAGCGGCUCGACCAGCCGCUCCGCACGCUGGUGACGGCCGCCGCGGUCAGCCGGUGACCGUUGUGUACCCCCUUUCCCCCUAUUCCCCUAUCCCCAAUCCCGAAAUCUACCUUAUGCAUUCCGAUCUUGCAUGUAUGAACUCGUAUGAACUGCUAUGAACUAGUAUGAACUACCCCUAUGCUUAUCUACCUCUAUUCCCCAUUCCCCUCCGCCGUGGAUCGAAUCUAUCGCCGUGGAUCGAAUCUAGCGUGCAUGUCGAAGAGAGAGAAGUGCUUACCGCCAUUGAUGGAGUCCGGUGGUCUUCUUCCUCUGCUCCGAUCCGCCGCCGCCGGUGAGAGUUGGGAGAGUGGGGAAGAGUGGGGAGAGGGAGAGGUGAGGGGCGGUGAGGCUAAUAACUGCCGGUGCUUCGGGAAGCAACGCGGCUUCUCGAGGGUGGCCGCGCGCGUGCAGCCGCACCCGCCCACGUGCACCGCUCGGGCCUGGCCCUGGAGAAACUGCCGAUUCGUGCGUUCCCAGUGAGCCAGGCCCUGAGGUGCUUUAAGAAGCGUGCGAUGCAGGCCCAAUAGUGUAUGCGGGCUACCAAACAGGCCGCGCACAUCCCGCGCGGGCCUGGUUGGGCUGCAUGCGGGCAACCAAACACGCCCAUGUCGUAUUUCCAGUGUUCUGUACGAGGAUUUCCCCAUGUCGUUCCUGAUGGAGCAAGCCGGAGGCCAGUCUUUCACCGGCAAACAGCGGGCCCUUGAAAUUGUUCCUUCUGAGAUACACCAGAGGUCUCCGAUAUUCCUCGGGAGCUACGAUGAUGUGGAGGAGAUUAAAUCAUUGUAUGCUUCGGAGUCGAGCACCGCCUGAUCUGAGUUCCUGAAGACACAAUACACAUGUUCUGCAUCCCGUUGCUAAAAGAAAAAAGUUAUGUUCGGCGUUGUGACAAAAGUCCUUGGGUAGCGUUAUGGUGAUUCUGACAUGAUUGUCAUGGCCUCAAUGUAACAAUACCCGUAUAUACAUAUA